GUUUACAGGCCAGCACGAGAGGAGCCAGGAGUUUUCACUCCUAAAUCAAGAGGUUUCCAGAGAAAGUGAAGGUGCCACCAGAAGUCUAGCCUGGAUGCCUCGAUCAGCCCCUGCCUGCUGUCCAGGAAGCUCUUCUGUUACAAGGCUCUAUUUCUGGAAAAGCCCAUGGAUUGAAGAUGAGCAAAAGUGGAAUUGGUGUGUAUGUCUGGAUCUGGUGGCAUGCGUCAGGAUGUCUGAAGUAGAAGAGAUCUCUCUCAUUUUAGCCAAAGGCUUGGCCAGCAUUCCUUGCUUUUAUGUCCCUGGGAGUGUGACUGUCAGAGGGAGGGGAGUAUAAGGCCCAUGAGCGAGCUAGACUUUCAGUUACAUCUUCUCCAGCGCUUGACGUGCCUUGUCAAUUACACCUGCCCAGCUUCUGUAAGAGCUUGUCUUUGACAGGAGCCCAGAUAUGUGGGCACGAUGAAGAGGACCCUGGCAAUCCUCAAGAAAGGUGGCGGGUGCCGCUCUCCAUCUGUGUGAAGGCAUUCCAUCGUCCAGGUGCAGAUAAACAUGUUUGAGCUUCAGCAACACCCACAUGAGUAUCUGUUCUCCCACCUUACACAAUAGCACCUUACAGAAAAACGACCAGGACUUCAAGUGUCGUCAGCUGGGCCCUGCGGGGAGGAAAAGGCCAGCUGAUCAUGGAAGCCACCCCAGUUUAGUGCAAGGGGGACUGGCUUUAUUCAAGCAACCCUGGUGAAUUUCCAGCCCCGCUGAGUGAUGCUGGAAGCCAUCGAAGCCUUCAGGGCUGGCCUAAAGACAAAAAGCUUCACCUACAGAUGUUCCUGAAUGGCAGCGGGGCCCUUGGGCGUAGGAAGCUCUCCCUUUGAAGAUGGCUGACAACAGCUCUCAAGGUGUGGGGCUCCUGCCUUCAAAUACAGCGGAAAAAAGAGAAGACCCGGGCAGAGCCUCAUCGCAUCUCACCAUCUCUGAAUGCUAACCAGGAGCCUGUCCCUCAACCAAUCAUAGUUCCAGAAGCAUAGGAUAUACUGAUUGGCUUAGACUCAGGUCACAUGACCCACUCCAGAGCCAAUGAGAAUAGAGGACUGGAUGACUGCCUAGUGAUCUAAGGACUGAUCUCUGCUACUUGAAGAGUUGAAUAUCAUAGAAACGACAGACUAGGGAAGUGAUGGUGUGUAUAUACUUUACAAGAAAUCCUACAAAUACCGUCGUACUUUCAGUGAAGAUUUAGCUAGCCGUUAAAGUUUCCAACUGGCAUAUCACCAAAAUUAGUGGGGGAUUUAGAUUCCAUAAGUUUGAGUGGGACCCACUGAGUAUAAUAAAUCUGUUAAUUCGAUCAUUUUUAAGAUGAACCAAAUGUCUUGGAAGAUCAGAUGGAGUCGGGCACCCUCCUAUGCACCCCUGCUACUGGCACUCCAACUCCAACCCUAUGUCUAUGCCUGUAUAUUCUGCCUUGUACUAUAGUGUUUCUGUGUGGGCUUUUCUUGCCCUUUCAAAACAAUAAACCCUUGGAGGAGGGGGAUCUUGGUGUCCCUUGAGCUCCAAACUUCACAGUUCCUACUACCUUGCUUUAGGCAUAAGAGGUGCUCAAUUAUAUUUGUUGUUUGGAUCAAAGUAUGAGUGAAUGGAACACUUACACUCUCCCUUUUCUUCUUCUUCUCUUUGUUUUUGGCAUUUUCCCCCCAAGAUGUCUGUCCUUGGAGUUUGUUGUAGCAGACUCUAGCCUGAUUUGCUACAAGGCCUUGAGAUGUUAUUUCUGCAGGGUUGCUUAUGUUUUAAGAAGUUGUUGGAAGGUAUGACAUUUUAAAAUCAUAAUGGUAAGCAGAAGCAAAAAAAAAAAAA